AGCUCUUGUGAUUUCAGCUUCUUUGUUGGUGAAUCUUCACUUCUGCGUUUGGCACCGCCAUGUCCGAAAUUGAGUCUCAAAAACCUAAGCCUGCGCACAACUUCCCUCCUCCACCUUCAAGUGACUCACGGCAGGCCAGAGUACCGAUUCAGAGCUCCAAUGGAGGUGGGUUUUCUGGCGGUCAAUCGUUCCCUAACCCACCCGACCGGGUGAACCCGGACCCGGCCACUCUCAGGGAGCAAUGGAAAUUCGCAAUUAGGCAGUAUAGCAAGUGGUAUUCGCACGCAUGGGGCACUGCGAUACUCGCGGGUGCAUCCUUUUUUGCUCUUGGAUGGAUCAUUAAAGGCGGCAACCCCUUGCCCUCUCUCGAGUCGGGUCGCAAGAACGCUCUAUCUGAAGAUCCAAAUGCUGCUGUCGAGGUCAAAAAGUGAAAAAAAUAAUAAUAAUAUGAACUUUAUUUUGGAGUUUCAAAAGCUCAAGACUGGUUCGUUGGCAUCUCGGUAGAUGAAAGGCUGGUGGGUGAAAACUAGAACGGGGAAGAUAUGAGCUUGGUUCAGGAUAAAUAUUCUCCAGCAGGGUGCAGUAGAUCACAAUAAAGAAUGGCAAUGACUUGAAAUUUCUGUAAUUAUCCAAAAUUUUCUGUGUGAAUAGAAUAAGAUAUAUACCAUGUGCAAGCUUUGGCUUGAAACUUCUUGCACUCCUGUGGUUGUGUUAAACAAAGAUGAAAAGAAUGAGAUAAUGAAAGUUUCCCUUUUUACAUGCAUA